UACAACGCCAGAUUCAUCAGAGACAACUGCCAAAAAAGAAACAAAAAAACCCAAAGAUGACGAAAUCGAAGACAAAAAUAAGUCGAAGAAAGCCACCAAAGGCAAAUCACGUCAAACAAAGACUAGUGAGGAAGACGCUGCGAAACCAGAUGAACCACUUGAUACAAAAGACAUAGCUGUUGAAAUAUCUGAUUAAUGUGGCAUUCCUGUAAAACUAUUGUACAAAUAGUAGCUGUGAUGAGAUGUUAGAUACCUAUGCAUUUUAGAUUUACCUUACAUUAUUCUUAACUGUAAAGUGUUUAAAUUGUAUAACAUGUGAUUUAUGUAAAUAGUACAUGUAUAACUGGAAAUUAAAUUCAAUAACAUUUCUAAACGGGCCCUCUUUUGUCAAAAGAUACUUACGAUACAUGAGAAAAAAAAGAGGAACAACUAAGAGGAAGCCAAACAAACUAAAAUUGCCUGUACCAACAUCAUAAAAUAUGGAAAUUUAUUAAAAACGCGUUGAUGUUGAAUGAUUGCCGCGUUAAAUUCAAGAAACGAAUCUUCACGUUGUACUAUAAUAUGUAUCGCCACAAAAUAAAAAUAGAAUACCGUUCUUCUCUUUUCACAAUUGAGAGAGUUGCUGAAGAAAGUUUUUAAUUUAU